ACGGAGGGUGCAAGCGUUAUUCGGAAUUACUGGGCGUAAAGCGCGGGUAGGCGGCCCUGCAAGCCUGUUGUGAAAGCCCCGGGCUUAACCCGGAAAGUGCAUUGGAAACUGCAGGUCUUGAGUACUGGAGAGGAUGGGGGAAUUCCCGGUGUAGAGGUGAAAUUCGUAGAGAUCGGGAGGAAUAUCAGUGGCGAAGGCGCCCAUCUGGACGGUAACUGACGCUGAGACGCGAAAGCGUGGGGAGCAAACAG
rnacentral:rRNA from 1 species